CAGACGAUGCGUCAUGCAUAUCAAUAAGCGGAGGAAAAGAAACUAACAAGGAUUCCCUUAGUAACGGCGAGUGAAGCGGGAAGAGCUCAAAUUUGAAAUCUUCAAGGUUUUACCUUGACGAAUUGUAGUUUAAAGAAGUGUUUUCUGUUGAAGUUUUGGUAAAAGUUCUUUGGAAUAGGACGUCAUAGAGGGUGAGAAUCCCGUAUUUGACCAUUAUUUUCAGCUGUGUGAUACACUUUCAAAGAGUCGGAUUGUUUGGGAAUGCAGUCCAAAAUGGGUGGUAAAUUUCAUCUAAAGCUAAAUAUUGGCGAGAGACCGAUAGCGAACAAGUACCGUGAGGGAAAGAUGAAAAGAACUUUGAAAAGAGAGUUAAACAGUACGUGAAAUUGUCAAAAGGGAAGCGUUUGACACCAGUGUUGUUUUCUCGAAAAUCAAUUAAAAAGAGUUGGAUUUUGUGUUGUAUUGACCUUAACAGCUUGCUUCACUCUUUUCCUGCUUUUUUUAAUGCACUUUUCGUUUAACAAGUCAACAUCAGUUUCUUUUGUUGUAAAAGGGUCAUUGGAAGGUGGCUUUCUCUUCGGAGAAAGUGUUUAUAGCCUUUGAUCUCUGCAAUCGGAGAGACUGAGGUCUGCAGCGUAGAUCCUUCGGGGUUAGAUACAUUUGUGCUAAGCUACAGCUUUUCAUAGACAACUUGUUGACUAUGUUUAGUCUUGUAAUUUACUCGCGAGUGCUAUUUUACCUACGCUUAGGAUGUUGAUAUGCAUGACUGAUAU
rnacentral:rRNA from 1 species